rnacentral:rRNA from 1 species
UACGUAGGGUGCAAGCGUUAAUCGGAAUUACUGGGCGUAAAGCGUGCGCAGGCGGUUUUGUAAGUCUGUCGUGAAAUCUCCUGGCUCAACUGGGAGGGUGCGCCGGAAACUGGAGUGCUUGAGCGUGGGAGAGGAAAGCGGAAUUCCUGGUGUAGCGGUGAAAUGCGUAGAUAUCAGGAGGAACACCUGUGGUGUAGACGGCUUUCUGGACCAUAGCUGACGCUGAGACACGAAAGCGUGGGUAGCAAACAGG